rnacentral:rRNA from 1 species
AACGAACGCUGGCGGCAUGCCUAACACAUGCAAGUCGAACGAUUACCUUCCGGUGAUAGUGGCGCACGGGUGCGUAACGCGUGGGAAUCUGCCCUCAGGUUCGGAAUAACAGCUGGAAACGGCUGCUAAUACCGGAUGAUAUCGCGAGAUCAAAGAUUUAUCGCCUGAGGAUGAGCCCGCGUUGGAUUAGGUAGUUGGUGGGGUAAAGGCCUACCAAGCCGACGAUCCAUAGCUGGUCUGAGAGGACGAUCAGCCACACUGGGACUGAGACACGGCCCAGACUCCUACGGGAGGCAGCAGUGGGGAAUAUUGGACAAUGGGCGCAAGCCUGAUCCAGCAAUGCCGCGUGAGUGAUGAAGGCCCUAGGGUUGUAAAGCUCUUUUACCCGGGAAGAUAAUGACUGUACCGGGAGAAUAAGCCCCGGCUAACUCCGUGCCAGCAGCCGCAGUAACAC